GGCCUACCAUGGUGGUAACGGGUAACGGGGUGUUAGGGCACGACACCGGAGAGGGAGCCUGAGAAACGGCUACCACAUCCAAGGAUGGCAGCAGGCGCGCAAAUUACCCAAUCCCGACACGGGGAGGUAGUGACAAUAAAUAACAAUACGGGGUUCUUUAGGAUCUCGUAAUUGGAAUGAGUACAAUUUAAAUCUCUUAACGAGGAACAAUUGGAGGACAAGUCUGGUGCCAGCAGCCGCGGUAAUUCCAGCUCCAAUAGCGUAUAUUAAAGUUGUUGCAGUUAAAAAGCUCGUAGUUGAAUUUCGGGGUUAGUAGGUUGGUCAUGCCUCUGGUAUGUACUGGUCUCACUGAUUCCUCCUUCCUUAUGAACCGUAAUGCCAUUAAUUUGGGGUUGCGGGGAAUUUGGACUGUUACUUUGAAAAAAUUAGAGUGUUUAAAGCAAGCUAACGCUUGAAUACAUUAGCAUGGAAUAAUGAAAUAGGACGUUCGAUCUUAUUUUGUUGGUUUCUAGGAUUGACGUAAUGAUUAAUAGGGAUAGUUGGGGGCAUUAGUAUUCAAUUGUCAGAGGUGAAAUUCUUGGAUUUAUUGAAGACUAACUACUGCGAAAGCUUUUGCCAAGGAUGUUUUCAUUAAUCAAGAACGAAAGUUAGGGGAUCGAAGACGAUCAGAUACCGUCGUAGUCUUAACCAUAAACUAUGCCGACUAGGGAUCGGAUGAUGUUAAUUUUUUAAUGACUCAUUCGGCGCCUUACG
rnacentral:rRNA from 1 species